rnacentral:rRNA from 1 species
GAAGCAUGAGCGCCAGCUUGUGUGGAGGCGACGUUGGGAUACCACCCUGAUCGUAUUGGAGUUCUAACUCUCUACCAUUAGCUGGUAGGAGGACCGUGUCAGGUGGGCAGUUUGACUGGGGCGGUCGCCUCCUAAAGAGUAACGGAGGCGUCCCAAGGUUCCCUCAGAAUGGUUGGAAAUCAUUCGAAGAGUGCAAAGGCAUAAGGGAGCUUGACUGCGAGACCAACAAGUCGAGCAGGGACGAAAGUCGGGCUUAGUGAUCCGGUGGUACCGCAUGGAAGGGCCAUCGCUCAACGGAUAAAAGCUACCCUGGGGAUAACAGGCUUAUCUCCCCCAAGAGUCCACAUCGACGGGGAGGUUUGGCACCUCGAUGUCGGCUCAUCGCAUCCUGGGGCUGAAGUAGGUCCCAAGGGUUGGGCUGUUCGCCCAUUAAAGCGGUACGCGAGCUGGGUUCAGAACGUCGUGAGACAGUUCGGUCCCUAUCUGUCGUGGGCGUAGGAAAUUUGAGAGGAGCUGUCCUUAGUACGAGAGGACCGGGAUGGACGUACCGCUGGUGUACCAGUUGUUCCGCCAGGAGCACCGCUGGGUAGCUAUGUACGGAAGGGAUAAGCGCUGAAAGCAUCUAAGCGCGAAGCCCCCCUCAAGAUGAGAUUUCCCAAUUAGUAAGACCCCUUGUAGACGACGAGGUUGAUAGGCUUGAGGUGGAAGCGCAGCAAUGUGUGGAGCUGACAAGUACUAAUAGGUCGAGGGCUUAACCAAU